GACGAACGCUGGCGGCGUGCUUAACACAUGCAAGUCGAACGGAAAGGCCCUGCUUUUGUGGGUUUCUCGAGUUGCGAACGUGUGAGUAACACGUGAGUAACCUGCCCUUUACUUUGUUAUAACUUCAGGAAACUGGGGCUAAUACCGGAUAGGAUCUCCUGCUGCAUGGUGUGGGUUGGAAAGUUUCGGCGGUUGGGGAUGGACUCGCGGCUUAUCAGCUUGUUGGUGGGGUAGUGGCUUACCAAGGCUUUGACGGGUAGCCGGCCUGAGAGGGUGACCGGAGAAAAUGGGACUGAGAGACGGAGCAGAGGACAACGGGAGGCAGCAGGGGGGAAUAUUGCAAAAUGGGCGGAAGCGUGAUGAAGAAACGAGGCGAGGGGGAUGAAGGGCUUAGGGUUGUAAAAAGAUGUAGAAUGAGAAGAAGAGUGAGUGACGGUAAUGGGUAAAGAAGCACCGGCUAAAUACGUG
rnacentral:rRNA from 1 species